GUANAGUUUGAUCCUGGCUCAGGAUAAGUCGUAACAAGGUAGCCGUAGAGUUUGAUCCNUGGCUCAGGANACGUCGCAUGUCCUGUAGUGNGGGAUAGGCCGGCGAANGCCGGAUUAAUACCGCAUACGCUCUACGGAGGAAAGGGGGGGAUCUUAGGACCUCCCGCUACAGGGGCGGCCGAUGGCAGAUUAGCUAGUUGGUGGGGUAAAGGCCUACCAAGGCGACGAUCUGUAGCUGGUCUGAGAGGACGACCAGCCACACUGGGACUGAGACACGGCCCANACUCCUACGGGAGGCAGCAGUGGGGAAUUUUGGACAAUGGGGGAAACCCUGAUCCAGCAAUGCCGCGUGUGUGAAGAAGGCCUUCGGGUUGUAAAGCACUUUUGUCCGGAAAGAAAACCUCCGCCCUAAUAUGGUGGGGGGAUGACGGUACCGGAAGAAUAAGCACCGGCUAACUACGUGCCAGCAGCCGCGGUAAUACGUAGGGUGCAAGCGUUAAUCGGAAUUACUGGGCGUAAAGCGUGCGCAGGCGGUCCGCUAAGACAGAUGUGAAAUCCCCGGGCUUAACCUGGGAACUGCAUUUGUGACUGGCGGGCUAGAGUAUGGCAGAGGGGGGUAGAAUUCCACGUGUAGCAGUGAAAUGCGUAGAGAUGUGGAGGAAUACCGAUGGCGAAGGCAGCCCCCUGGGCCAAUACUGACGCUCAUGCACGAAAGCGUGGGGAGCAAACAGGAUUAGAUACCCUGGUAGUCCACGCCCUAAACGAUGUCAACUAGUUGUUGGGGAUUCAUUUCCUUAGUAACGAAGCUAACGCGUGAAGUUGACCGCCUGGGGAGUACGGUCGCAAGAUUAAAACUCAAAGGAAUUGACGGGGACCCGCACAAGCGGUGGAUGAUGUGGAUUAAUUCGAUGCAACGCGAAAAACCUUACCUACCCUUGACAUGUAUGGAACCUGGCUGAGAGGUCGGGGUGCCCGAAAGGGAGCCAUAACACAGGUGCUGCAUGGCUGUCGUCAGCUCGUGUCGUGAGAUGUUGGGUUAAGUCCCGCAACGAGCGCAACCCUUGUCCCUAGUUGCUACGCAAGAGCACUCUAGGGAGACUGCCGGUGACAAACCGGAGGAAGGUGGGGAUGACGUCAAGUCCUCAUGGCCCUUAUGGGUAGGGCUUCACACGUCAUACAAUGGUCGGAACAGAGGGUCGCCAACCCGCGAGGGGGAGCCAAUCCCAGAAAACCGAUCGUAGUCCGGAUCGCACUCUGCAACUCGACUGCGUGAAGCUGGAAUCGCUAGUAAUCGCGGAUCAGCAUGCCGCGGUGAACACGUNCCCGGGUCUCCUGCACCCCGCCAANUCGUAACAAGGUACCCGUAGAGUUUGAUCCUGGCUCAGGAUAAGUCGUAACAAGGUAGCCGUNGA
rnacentral:rRNA from 1 species